GGGGUGAGUAAUGCUUGGGUAUCUGCCUUGAGGUGGGGGACAACAGUUGGAAACGACUGCUAAUACCGCAUAAUCUCUACGGAGACAAAGUGGGGGGACCUUCAGGGCCUCUCAGCCACAAAGAUGAACCCAAGAUGGGAUUAGCUACGUUGGUAAGGUAACGGCUUACCAAGGCGACGAUCCCUAGCUGGUCUGAGAGGAUGACCAGCCACACUGGAACUGAGACACGGUCCGACUCCUCGGAGCAGAGUGGGGAUAUUGCCAAUGGGGGAAACCUGAUGCAGCCAUGCCGCGUGUAUACGACAGCUUCGAGUCGUAAAGCAC
rnacentral:rRNA from 1 species